UCCUCGAUAGCUCAACGGUAGAGCAUCCGGCUGUUAACCGGAGGGUUGCUGGUUCGAAUCCAGCUCGGGGAG
rfam:Peptococcaceae bacterium BRH_c8a BRHa_1004387, whole genome shotgun sequence.